UACGUAGGGUGCGAGCGUUAAUCGGAAUUACUGGGCGUAAAGCGUGCGCAGGCGGUUCGUUAAGUUCGUCGUGAAAGCCCCGGGCUCAACCUGGGAACUGCGAUGGAAACUGGCGGGCUUGAGUGUGGCAGAGGGGGGUGGAAUUCCGCGUGUAGCAGUGAAAUGCGUAGAGAUGCGGAGGAACACCGAUGGCGAAGGCAGCCCCCUGGGCCAACACUGACGCUGAGGCGCGAAAGCGUGGGGAGCAAACAGG
rnacentral:rRNA from 1 species